rnacentral:lncRNA from 1 species
GGCAGCGGGAGCUGGCGGCGCGGAGAUCCGGACGGAGGCCGAGGCUGGGGCUGGGUGCCGGGCGUCUGGGAAAGGUGUGCAGCUUUCUAUCGGAGCCCCGGGACCCCGCUGCCGUUUGGGGCCGCCAACCUCCGGCUCCUCUCAGGCACCAGCAGCUACGCGGCGACCCCCGUCCGGCCGCCUCCCCUUCGCUCCGCGUCGCCCGCAGCCUUCCGUCUGCCCGCAAACGAGCCCGGCCGGCCGGGCCGUGGCCCUCCUCAGUGCCGGCCGCCAUGGCAGGGGUGCUCGGCGCGGGGGAAAUCUAGUCCGAGGAUUUCAUGCGGCCUAGCUCGGUUCCGUCUCCUGCGCCCGCGGUCCCGGCAGCUGCCGGCAACCCAGCCCCACUUCGGGCCUCCGUGUCUCUCCUGUGAUCGUACUGACACGGCAGGGGGGUUAGAAUGGAACAAACUGAAGGCUCGAUGAGAGAAAGGGAAAGUUAAGGAUGCUGGAGCAGAACAAUGGAUUUCUCUUUCUCUUUCAUGCAAGGGAUCAUGGGAAACGCACUAGAAGGUCGUCUCUGCUGCUCCAACCAUGACCCUGCAUCUCCUGUGUCACCGGAAUACUGGAGCAAGAUGAGAUGUAAAUGGGAAUCCCAAGAUGGUGGGGAAGAAGUAAAGGAGUGAGAGGUGGUGACUUCCUUCCCUGCAGCUCGCAGUCCCAGAGGCAACAGAGCACGCACUGUGCUUGCCACCAUCCACACCGCCUUCUAACCGAUGGGAGCUGGCUCACACAGGCUAAAGCACGGUGGUGUUUCCUAUUGUGUUGUUUGGGGGAUAAUUUGUGGACAGCAGAAUUCCCUUGGUCUUUUCUUGCCUAUUAUUGUGCUUCAGUGUCUUUGCAGUCAGCAAAAGAGGUGUCCUCGUUCUUAGAGUUGAAAGUUAAAAGAAUGUUUUGUCGAUAAGAUCGGUGUA